AACAGGAUUGAACAAUGUUUUGCUGCCCACGUUGUUCAAACUUGUCAACAAUAUUGAACAAUGUUGCUGAGCCUGAGUCGGGUGUAACAAUAUUGUUCAAUAUUGUUGACAGCUAUGAACAAUGUGGGCAGCAAAACAUUGUUCAAUCCUGUU